UUCUUUUAAAAUUGUGUCUGUUCAUCUGCAUUACCAACUUGAAAAGAUGAAGAGACUUUGAAAGAAGUGAUUGGAUUGUGAGGAGACUAACCUCAUCAAUGGAUGUAUUUAGAGGAGUGAAAUGAGGAUUUCAUCUACCAGACAUCAUCCACACAUCUCCCAGAAGGCAAUAAGUGGGAAAAAAGGGCACACUAAUGCUUUGUCUAUGACUUCCAUUCUACCAUGAGAUUAAAAUGUCACCACCAACUAAAAAAAGAAUGAGGAGAAGCCAGUAGGAGCCAAUACUUACAAUGAUUUGAACCAGGUAUGUCAAUCCAGCAAAAUUCACUAACAGCAAAUGUUCCAUGGGUCUCUCUUGCUCCCCAAAACCUUGCAGUGGGUCGACUAGAGAAAUUUAGCAGCUUAUAUGGAUUACUCAGCACUUCUACAUCCUACAGUGUAGAGGACAUGCCCUUAGGGCUCUAGGAUAUUGUGUUAAUUUGAAAAGUUUAGAAGUUUAAGGGACUCAGCAGGGGGUCAGGGUCCUCACUUGGGAAAAGUUCUGAGACUGUGCCAGAGAGGGGCAGAGGGUGUGAGUGUUAGACCAGCAGAAGGUGGAGAGCCUGCAUACAAUGUAAGAGAGGAAAAGAGGUUUGUUCUCCCCUUUUUGCUGUUGUUGCUUUGUUGUCUUCUGCAGCUUGAACUGUUGCCCCCCAGUCAGGCCACCUGCCUUGGAACCAGCUGAUUAUGGACUGAAACAAACUACACAGUCUAAAAACGCAAUGAUCACCACUUAAAAUGUGAUAAUGAUACAGGAAAAGUAUAACACCAAACCUGCUCGUGUUCAGAUGUGCCAAGUUUGAAAAUGAAUUCCAGAAGACAAAGCAGGUAAAGAAUAGGAAAGAUUUAUUAAGACAUAGUCUCUGAAAGACAAGAGGAGUCUCAGAAAUGGAUUGUCACUGAAGGCUCUGUGAAAUACAACUUGUCCAGCAUGUGGAUACAACAUGGUUCAAACUAUAAUCAAUCAGCAAGAAUAUAAAUAUAGCCACUUAGCUCUUAUUGAUCCAAUAGGAAGCAGAGUGCCAGGGUAUGGGACUGACAUCACUAGCCUUGGCUAUCUAUGACUUCUCAAACAAGAACAUUUUGAGAAUGGAUAAGUCCAGCUGUUCGGGUCACCCACUGGGUGUCCAAUACAUAUCUAGUUUUAAUGGACUGGAUGAUACCAAUUACAAUGUAAUCUUAAGUCCCAUUCACCCUUUAGGGAUGUAUGUAAAUCUAUACAUUGUAUUUUAAUCUUGAGGCCUUGCCUUCUUCAGAUACACCUUCAUGUUAGGGACCAAAAAUCACAAUGGCUAGUGUUGCACACUUCCAUAAGAGAUUAACAGAGGCUUGAAGUUUUGUGUAUCACACUUUUGAGAUUUUCCAUUAUCCCUAUAGGGGCAAAUCAUCCUCUCCCAUGUACUAAGAUUAAGUUUAAAACUAUGAAGAGUAAAGUAUCUCCAGGGCAAGAUUCUCAUUAGUGUAAAACCACAGCUACCUGCUAAAUUACUGUCAUCCGAUCGUCCCCUCCCCCAUCAAUAAAUGCUGAGGUCAAGU